UACGUAGGGUGCAAGCGUUAAUCGGAAUUACUGGGCGUAAAGCGUGCGCAGGCGGUUCUAUAAGGCCGAUGUGAAAUCCCCGGGCUUAACCUGGGAACUGCAUUGGUGACUGGCGGGCUAGAGUGUGGCAGAGGGGGGUAGAAUUCCACGUGUAGCAGUGAAAUGCGUAGAGAUGUGGAGGAAUACCGAUGGCGAAGGCAGCCCCCUGGGCUAACACUGACGCUCAUGCACGAAAGCGUGGGGAGCAAACAGG
rnacentral:rRNA from 1 species